UAACAUGACAGCACUGUCGAUCAUUUCUUCCCAGCGGAGAAAAGCAGGAUAAGCCGGUGAGAAUCCGGCCCUGGCGCGCAACGGUAAACCCUGCACAUUCGGGGAAAAGGCCGAACACCUGACGGCAGGCUGCGGCAUCA
rnacentral:ncRNA from 1 species